GUUCCUUAAGCAUUUCAUUAGUUUUUAUUCUCCUUUCAUUUAUCUUCUUCUCAACCCGAGGGUAGGCUUAAAACUCUCUUCCCCAUCAUUCUUAUUUUCAUUUCUUCAAGAUUUAAGGAGUGGAAGGACAAGCUAGACGAGAGCUAUUAAGGAGUUAAAGGCAAGCUUGCAUCCUAAAUGUUGAUCCAAUGAAAAAGCUUAGCAUGAGUAGCUGGCGAGACCUCUAGCAAAGGCAAGGCGCAUGUGGUGGAAUAGAAGAUUUCUUCUAUUUUCCUAGCCAAAUGCUUAUGAGUGGAUUUUGUUUUAUUUUAUUGUACUUGCAAAUUUUGGUUGGUUGUGACUUUAUUAUAUAUAUACACCUAUAUGUGUGUGAGUUCUUUUUCCAAGUAUGCUUAAAAUGCUUUUUCGGUUCAAAUGAGUACA